rnacentral:rRNA from 1 species
UAGUCAUAUGCUUGUCUCAAAGAUUAAGCCAUGCAUGUCUAAGUAUAAACAUCUUUAUACAGUGAAACUGCGUACAGCUCAUUAUAUCAGUUAUUAUUUAUUUGAUGGUACCUUACUACAUGGAUACCCGUAGUAAUUCUAGAGCUAAUACAUGCGUAAAGUCCCGACUUUUUGGAAGGGAUGUAUUUAUUAGAUUAAAAACCAAUGCAGGCAACUGCUCCUUUGGUGAUUCAUAGUAACUUUAACGGAUCGCACGGCUUCACGUCGGCGACAGUUCAUUCAAAUUUCUGCCCUAUCAGCUUUCGACGGUACUGUAGUGGACUACCGUGGCAUUAACGGGUAACGGGGAAUUAGGGUUCUAUUCCGGAGAGGGAGCCUGAGAAACGGCUACCACAUCCAAGGAAGGCAGCAGGCGCGCAAAUUACCCAAUCCCGACACGGGGAGGUAGUGACAAUAAAUACUGAUACAGGGCUCUUUUGGGUCUUGUAAUUGGAAUGAGUACAAUUUAAAUCCCUUAACGAGGAACAAUU